rnacentral:rRNA from 1 species
CUACGGGGUGCUGCAGUGAGGAAUAUUGGUCAAUGGCCGAGAGGCUGAACCAGCCAUCCCGCGUGCAGGAUGACGGCCCUAUGGGUUGUAAACUGCUUUUCUACGCCAAGAAAUCCGAUUACGUGUAAUUAGUUGACGGUAGCGUAGGAAUAAGCAUCGGCUAACUCCGUGCCAGCAGCCGCGGUAAUACGGAGGAUGCAAGCGUUAUCCGGAUUCAUUGGGUUUAAAGGGUGCGCAGGCGGGCUUGUAAGUCAGUGGUGAAAUACUGCCGCUUAACGGUAGAACUGCCAUUGAUACUGCAAGUCUUGAAGAUGGUUGAGGUAGGCGGAAUGUGUUGUGUAGCGGUGAAAUGCAUAGAUAUGGCACAGAACGCCGAUUGCGAAGGCAGCUUACUAAGCCAUUAUUGACGCUGAGGCACGAAAGCGUGGGGAGCGAACAGGAUUAGAUACCCGUGUAGUC